AGUGAACGCUGGCGGUAGGCCUAACACAUGCAAGUCGAACGGCAGCACAGUAAGAGCUUGCUCUUACGGGUGGCGAGUGGCGGACGGGUGAGGAAUACAUCGGAAUCUACUUUUUCGUGGGGGAUAACGUAGGGAAACUAACGCUAAUACCGCAUACGACCUACGGGUGAAAGCAGGGGAUCUUCGGACCUUGCGCGAUUGAAUGAGCCGAUGUCGGAUUAGCUAGUUGGUGGGGUAAAGGCCCACCAAGGCGACGAUCCGUAGCUGGUCUGAGAGGAUGAUCAGCCACACUGGAACUGAGACACGGUCCAGACUCCUACGGGAGGCAGCAGUGGGGAAUAUUGGACAAUGGGCGCAAGCCUGAUCCAGCCAUACCGCGUGGGUGAAGAAGGCCUUCGGGUUGUAAAGCCCUUUUGUUGGGAAAGAAAAGCAGCAGGUUAAUACCCCGCUGUUCUGACGGUACCCAAAGAAUAAGCACCGGCUAACUUCGUG
rnacentral:rRNA from 1 species